GACUGGCAGGUGCAGGGUGUCUGGUUUGCAGGUGUGAAUUAUGAAGUGUGGCUGCGGUAAGUCCACCAGAGGAUAUACCGAUGAAAGAAGGCUGCUCCAGGGCGCGUGUGCUCGAGAGCUAAAGGUUCCCUCGCACCGGCUAACGACCACUAGACCGAUGAGGGCCGAUGAUCAUACGCGAACGAUUCCCACUCAUCGCUCUGGAAGGCUUCAAAUUUUAAGGGGGUCGGCACCAGCCUUUAGCUCUUUGUUAAACCAACGGGAGGCUGGUAAGAUGUAUUAAGCAUUCUUUCUUUUGCUGACCGCUUUCCAAAAUAAUUUUAAGGUGGCAUAAGGCUUCUAAGGUACGAAACCAUAGGAAAUCUUCGGUGUAACAGAAGCCUCCGAGGCGAGGGAGGGCAGCCACCGGCGGCACCAGUGGAAGGGAGGAAUUAAAGAGGGAGGGAAGGAGGGAAGGGAGGGAAAGAGGGAAUGACUCGAGGGAGUUGAAGAAGAGAAGGAAGGAAGGAAUGAAGGAGGGAAAGAAGGAAGGAAGGAAAGAAGGAAGGAAGGAAGGAAGGGAAGUAAGUAAGUAAGUAAGUAAUAAGUAAGGAAGGAAGGAAGGAAUGAAGGAGGGAAAGAAGGAAGGAAGGAAAGAAGGAAGGAAGGAAGGAAGGUAAGUAAGUAAGUAAGUAAGUAAUAAGGAAGGAAGUAAGGAAGGAAGAAAGGAAGGGAAAACAUACAACACACCUAAAAAUAUUUGUUUUACAUUUGUACGUAUGUUUGUGAGCGUGUUUUUAGGUGUGUGUUUAUAUGCAUUUGUGUGUGUGUGUGUGUGUGUGUGUGUGUGUGUGUGUGUGUGUGUGUGUAAUUCACCUCUUGGUCUGCUGCGGGUCCUUCUCGAGACAGUCAGCCGUUCCCCUACGAAAAAGCACAGAGCUCAUAGUACCGAUCUUUGGGUAGGACUGAGACCACUCACACACAACACACCGCGACAACGAGGCCACAACUCCUCGCCUUACGUCGCGUACCUUCUCACUGCUAGGUGAACAGCGGCUACACGUGAAAGAAGAUAAACCCAACUUAUCUCACCCGGCUGGGGAAUCGAACCCCGGUCCUUCUGGUUGUGAGGCAGACGCUCUACCCAUUGAGCUACCGGGCCGUGUGUAGGCGUAGCUACCGGGCCGUGUGUAUGUGUGUGUGUGUGUGUGUGUGUGUGUGUGUGUAUUCAUAGUCCAUGAAUGCCAACUCUUGCAAUACGGGCACGUGGCACGCAACCUAGAAGUGGACGCUGCUCACCGGGUUGUUUCUGUGAGAAACAGUCCCGAGUGGAGGAGGCCAAGGGGACGCCCACAGAGCCGUUGGAAUGAGCAAGUCAACAGGUCCUGCCGUGCGGUGCUUGGGGCGGGGAGGCGGCCUGCAUGGAGAUGUGCCCGUAGGAGCACCCGUCAACAGGUCCUGCCGUGCGGUGCUUGGGGCGGGGAGGCGGCCUGCAUGGAGAUGUGCCCGCAGGAGCACCCGUCAACAGGUCCUGCCGUGCGGUGCUUGGGGCGGGGAGGCGGCCUGCAUGGAGAUGGGCCCGUAGGAGCACCCGUCAACAGGUCCUGCCGUGCGGUGCUUGGGGCGGGGAGGCGGCCUGCAUGGAGAUGUGCCCGUAGGAGCACCCGUCAACAGGUCCUGCCGUGCGGUGCUUGGGGCGGGGAGGCGGCCUGCAUGGAGAUGUGCCCGUAGGAGCACCCGUCAACAGGUCCUGCCGUGCGGUGCUUGGGGCGGGGAGGCGGCCUGCAUGGAGAUGUGCCCGUAGGAGCACCCGUCAACAGGUCCUGCCGUGCGGUGCUUGGGGCGGGGAGGCGGCCUGCAUGGAGAUGUGCCCGUAGGAGCACCCGUCAACAGGUCCUGCCGUGCGGUUCUUGGGGCGGGGAGGCGGCCUGCAUGGAGAUGGGCCCGUAGGAGCACCCGUCAACAGGUCCUGCCGUGCGGUGCUUGGGGCGGGGAGGCGGCCUGCAUGGAGAUGGGCCCGUAGGAGCACCCGUCGUAGGGCGGUCUAGGCGACGAGCCCUUCCGUAUGGCUUGAAAAUAACAAAGAUGUAUUUGAU